UGGGGAAUCUUCCGCAAUGGACGAAAGUCUGACGGAGCAACGCCGCGUGAGUGAAGAAGGUUUUCGGAUCGUAAAGCUCUUUCGUCAGGGACGAACGUAUUUCUUGUAAAUAAUGAGAGAUAGUGACGGUACCUGAAUAAGAAGCCACGGCUAACUACGUGCUAGCAGCCGCGGUAAUACGUAGGUGGCAAGCGUUGUCCGGAAUUAUUGGGCGUAAAGCGCGCGCAGGCGGGAUAUCAAGUCUGUCUUAAAAGUGCGAGGCUCAACCUCGUGAGGGGACAAAAACUGGUAUUCUUGAGUGUCGGAGAGGAAGGUGGAAUUCCAGGUGUAGCGGUGAAAUGCUUAGAGAUUGGGAAGAACGCCAGUGGCGAAGGCGACUUUCUGGACGAUGUCUGACGCUGAGGCG
rnacentral:rRNA from 1 species